rnacentral:rRNA from 1 species
UGGUGGAGUGAUUUGUCUGGUUAAUUCCGUUAACGAACGAGACCUCAGCCUGCUAAAUAGAUAGCCGAAGAGAUUUUCUCUUCUGUGCUACACUUCUUAGAGGGACAUUCGGUAUUCAAGCCGAAGGAAGUUUGAGGCAAUAACA